rnacentral:misc_RNA from 1 species
GUGAAUCAUCGAAUCUUUGAACGCACAUUGCGCCCAUUAGUAUUCUGGCGGGCAUGCCUGUCUGAGCGUCGUUUCGACCCUCGCGCCCGGCUUCUGUCGGGGGCGGUGUUGGGGAUCGGCCACACCCUUCAGUGGGAGGCCGGCCCCUAAAUUCAGUGGCGACCACGCUGUAGCCUCCCCUGCGUAGUACUAAAACCACCUCGCAGGCGGAGAGCGGUGCGGCCCGCCGUAAAACCCCCCAACUUUUACAAGGUCGACCUCAGAUCAGGUAGGAAUACCCGCUGAACUUAAGCAUAUCAA